rnacentral:rRNA from 1 species
AACGAACGCUGGCGGCAGGCCUAACACAUGCAAGUCGAGCGCCCCGCAAGGGGAGCGGCGGACGGGUGAGUAACGCGUGGGAACGUACCCUUUGCUACGGAAUAGCCUCGGGAAACUGGGAGUAAUACCGUAUGUGCCCUUCGGGGGAAAGAUUUAUCGGCAAAGGAUCGGCCCGCGUUGGAUUAGGUAGUUGGUGGGGUAAUGGCCUACCAAGCCGACGAUCCAUAGCUGGUUUGAGAGGAUGAUCAGCCACACUGGGACUGAGACACGGCCCAGACUCCUACGGGAGGCAGCAGUGGGGAAUCUUAGACAAUGGGCGCAAGCCUGAUCUAGCCAUGCCGCGUGAGCGAUGAAGGCCUUAGGGUUGUAAAGCUCUUUCAGUGGGGAAGAUAAUGACUGUACCCACAGAAGAAGCCCCGGCUAACUCCGUGCCAGCAGCCGCGGUAAAAGUCACGUCGAGACGGCGUGCGAGACGGCAUAG